CAUAUGUAUAUACUUUGAAGGUCCAUCCUGGGCCGUGUUAAUUCAUAGUGAUGCCUUCUUCAUUGGAUUCCUCCCUUUAUAAAGCAACCCACGGAAAAUCCAUAUUAGGAAGGAACAUCAUGGAGGCCGCUUGCCGCAUAAGAGGCUGGAGCGGCAAAUUUGGUGUGGCUGAUCCUCCAUGCAAAGGCUGAGGUCCAACACUGACCGCAGGCAAGCCCCAUGGCAUUCACCGCUUGUCUACGUGUUGCUGGAGGAUGGCUCACAACAUGCGAAUCAUUUAGCUUAGAUUUUAAAUAAGGAGUCAUCCAUGGAGUCAUCAAAGAAGGGACCGAGACGUACACGGCCGCGGAUCAAGAACCGACCUGGCGAGAUGCCGUCUGCGGCACCUUAGGAGGAAAUGAGAAGCAUGGGGAACUCGAAGGGGGAAAAGGUUGAUUUUGCUACAGUUCUCUUGCCCGAUCCUCAUAGAAGAUAGACAGUCCACACUGAAAAGGGUGCAAUGAUGAGUUGAUACAGCAUAUUGGAAUGCCAGCUUCGGAAAUGGAAUAUAUGGUAUGAUCAUACAUUGAAAACAAGGCUGGAGCACCGCUGCAACUCAUGCUCAGCUAAUUUAAGCUCGAGUACCCCAAGCUGCAAUUCUUCAAAUAUCUUUGGCAUGUUUUGCUGAUGAAGUGCCUUUUGCUAGCCCAAAUCUGUUCUUAAAUAUUAUAUGCCUCCACCUUGAUGCCUUUGUGCUGUGCUCUCCGUGCAUUCCUAACAGAGUAUAAAUGGUUUUAGGAUUUAGGGUUGUAUAGUUCAUAUAUUCUUUAUGCAAAAAAUUCUACUGAUUAAUGACUUCAAUAUCGUGAGAAACACAUUUGUCUGCAAGGCUGGUACAUCAAGUGUAAAAUUAAUGACUCUUCUGGGUAUUGCUCUUUCUUA